rnacentral:rRNA from 1 species
AACGAACGCUGGCGGCAUGCCUAACACAUGCAAGUCGAACGAGAUCUUCGGGUCUAGUGGCGCACGGGUGCGUAACGCGUGGGAAUCUGCCCUUUGGUUCGGAAUAACAGUUGGAAACGACUGCUAAUACCGGACGAUGACGAAAGUCCAAAGAUUUAUCGCCAGAGGAUGAGCCCGCGUAGGAUUAGCUAGUUGGUGUGGUAAAGGCGCACCAAGGCGACGAUCCUUAGCUGGUCUGAGAGGAUGAUCAGCCACACUGGGACUGAGACACGGCCCAGGCUCCUACGGGAGGCAGCAGUGGGGAAUAUUGGACAAUGGGCGAAAGCCUGAUCCAGCAAUGCCGCGUGAGUGAUGAAGGCCUUAGGGUUGUAAAGCUCUUUUACCCGGGAUGAUAAUGACAGUACCGGGAGAAUAAGCUCCGGCUAACUCCGUGCCAGCAGCCGCGGUAA